UCUGAGAGGAUCACAUCACUAUUGAUUGUCAUCUAACAGACCAUACUUUGAACCAUUAUCUUUUGGAUUCCGCUUAAACUUGGAUUCUCAUUAGUAAGCCACUUACCUUAUCAAUUUGGUUUUAUACUUAUUUUUAACCAUACAUAGAGAGGUCCAUAUGCUUCUCCAGGAUCCUUUUAAAUGUUGUGGCACUUGGUUGAAUCUGUACCCCUGAGGAAGUCCCAGAACGGGACGAAACACGUUGGGUUUUGUCUUUUUCUGACUGUAUAUCUAUCCAUGCUGCAUGCUGGUAAAGAAAAGGCUUACUCAAGCAUCUAUUCCAUCUAUGCCACAUAGUGUCAAAGAACUGUGCCAUUCAACGGAUUACUAAUUUGAAAUUAUAUCUCUGUGUUUAUA